GUAGGUGAACCUGCGGAAGGAUCAUUACAACGUAUCCACGUAUCAACCAAAUGUGAACCUCCCAUCCGGAGCAAAACUUAGUGUGUCGUUAAUGGCCGAACUGUUAAAGCGGCGCUUUCCACAGAUGGAGAUGUUGGACCUAACCGUCUGACCUCUAGGAAGCGUCCGUUCGGUCGUCAGCUCUUUCAGAGUUGAGGCGUCCUUUUGCUUCAGAUGCGGUAUUAAUGUCCGCCCAUCUGCGGUCGAAAUU
rnacentral:misc_RNA from 1 species